rnacentral:lncRNA from 1 species
UUUUUUUUGUUUUUUUCCUCAAACUAAACAAUAUAACUUGGUAAUAGGCAGACAGGGAAUAUGAAGAAUAUUCCAGCUUGGCACCUUCAGGUCAGUUAAGUCCAAUAUUCUGGGUACCUUCAAGAUGCCAGAUAGUCAUUCCUUUGUAUCAUAUGUAUCCAGCACACAGCAGAUUGUGUAUCCAGCACACGGCAGGGCUUAGUAAACAAAUGGAGUGAAUGAAAUAUCCGAAUAGUCCUCAGUUGCCUUACUUAUAAAAUGGGAAAACAAUCAUAUAAUUGUUGAAAGGUUGAAGAGUUGGAGAAAAGUGGUCCCAGAAUAUUUCACAAUCAAGUACUAUUUUUUAGUUCAAAUCAAAUUAAAACAGAUUUACAAAUGAAAACAUAAAAGGAAAAAUAGGUAAGAGACUACUAUUGAAUUACUGUCUAGCUGUGUAAUCUUUGCUUAACUUUUCCGAAGCUCAUUUGUAAAGCGGAUAAUCACACUUACCUUGAAAGGCUCUAAUACUCUGCCAAGCACAUGAGCUGGGCCCAGGGGUGGGAGUAUAUGGUGUUGUGGUUAAGAGCAGAGGCUAGGAGCCAGACCUGAGUUUGAAUCCCAGCUCUGCCUCUGACUAAAUGUGUGAUACCUACUAUGUGUGUAACCUUAAGCAAUUUAAUUUCUUUCUGCCUCAGCUUUCCUCAUCUGCAAAAUGGGAACAAUAAGUAUACUUAUCUCGGAGGGCUGUGGUGAGGACUGCAUAUAAACUAAUGAAUGUUGUAUAUUAAUAAAAGUUCACAGCUAUUCUUAUUUCAGAUUUUCUAUGUAAUCUGAAAGAGAUGCUGAGGCCUGCCCUAAUUUGUUCUUAGACUGCAACUGCUUGACUGGCAGUUGGUUCCCAUUUCCUCCUUCCUCCCAAACUGGGUGUUCACAGCUCACAUUUAACCUGUGCCCGCCCCCACCAAGUCCAACUCCCGAGUUAGACCUUCUGUUCUCCUCCAAACCCCUAUAUAUGUACAUAUAUAUGUAGUAAUUUAAUUUAAAAAUUCACCAGUGCUUUUUUUUUUUUUUUUGGUCAUUAAUAUUCAGGGGCAUUCAUGUUCCUAGCUGGUUUAUAUUUGGAUUGUUUUUUUCUCUGGAUUAUUCCAAAUUUUUGCCUAUUGAGUUGAUGGCCACUUAAAAGACAGAGAAAUUCUUGGCAUGUAGAAUUUGGAAGGAAAUAGAAAGGCAAACAAGAAAUAAGGAUGAGCACUAUUCUGCACGGAGAUCUGUGAUGAGAAAAGAGAACCAAACCAAACUCCAAGAUGUUUGUGUAGCUAGUUUGUUAGUUACUUUGAUAUGCUGGUGUCAUAUCAUCACUAUGCUGGCAAUUGGAAACAAUUUAAAUAGGUGCUUGAAUUAUUCCCACUGUAACAUUAUUUUGAUUCCAUCCUUUGUCCACGUUAAUGCACUUCCCCCAAAUCUUUUGAAGAUUCCAUGGAAUUCCUCAAAUAGACAGUGAGGCAUCAGGAAGCCAACAAAGUUUUGUUUUGUUUUGUUUUGUCUG